UGGGGAAUAUUGGACAAUGGGGGGAACCCUGAUCCAGCCAUGCCGCGUGUGUGAAGAAGGCCUUAUGGUUGUAAAGCACUUUAAGCGAGGAGGAGGGUACUGGUAUUAAUACUACCAGCUACUGGACGUUACUCGCAGAAUAAGCACCGGCUAACUCUGUGCCAGCAGCCGCGGUAAUACAGAGGGUGCGAGCGUUAAUCGGAUUUACUGGGCGUAAAGCGUGCGUAGGCGGCUAAUUGAGUCGGAUGUGAAAUCCCCGAGCUUAACUUGGGAAUUGCAUUCGAUACUGGUUAGCUAGAGUGUGGGAGAGGAUGGUAGAAUUCCAGGUGUAGCGGUGAAAUGCGUAGAUAUAGGAAGGAACACCAGUGGCAAAGGCGACCACCUGGGCUCAUACUGACACUGAGGUGCGAAAGCGUGGGGAGCAAACAGG
rnacentral:rRNA from 1 species